UGUGGGAGCGGGCUUGCCCGCGAUAGCGCUCUUUCAGCCAAGUAUCCAUUGGCUGACACACCGCAAUCGCGGGCAAGCCCGCUCCCACA
rnacentral:antisense_RNA from 1 species